rnacentral:lncRNA from 1 species
AUGCUUCCAGUUCCAGUCCUGCAUCGCUUCGUUCUGUGGAGGGUCGUGACUAGUUCUGUCUUCGUCUGUCACGGCAUAGCUGUACGUCGGUGCUGGAUGGAUGCCAACGUAUGGGAGCGAAGGCCUGUGUGGAAAGGAAAAGAAGAUCUUGAGAGCGGGAGUGGCUGUCAAAGCUAAGUAUCUGCUGACGCGUUCGAUGGUCAGAAGUAUUUGUGCUGUUGAGGCUCCUUGUUUAGGGAUGGGAGUCCUCUAAACUCUGCUCGUUCUUAACGGGUGUGUGAGGGAGCUCAUUGUAUGAAUGGAGUGUGUUUCCCCUGGAGGAAUGCUGAUUUCUGGCAGAUUUUCCUAACUAGAGAUGCUCUGUUCUCAGUUCUUCUCUCUUACAUGGCACUGGAUUUGCAUGACAGGUCACCACUUCAUCCUUUGUCCAUCUUCUAAAUGGUUGUGGUUUUCCGAGGAGGAUGUGAGCAUCCUAGUUAGCGAUGCCUCCCUGUGGCGGAGGGAGAGGGGGAGGGCUACCAGUAUUUUAGAAGCGUAGCCAUUUUCCAUGUGGAUGAAAGUGUUCUCUGGGGGGGCGGGGUGUAAUAUGUAGUAGGUGUUCCCUCUCAAGGAAGCCGUAUGCAGGUGAGGUCAUCUUUCAUAUUGUGUAGUUGGGAGCUUUGCGAGUAGGUUUUCAGUCAAGCUUUGUAUUUGCAGAUGCGUCCAUAUCUGGUACUGCAUCACCUCGUUCUGUGGAGGGUUGUGACCACUUCUAUCUUCGUCUGCCACGGCAUAGAUGUAUGUCUGUGCUGAAUGGAUGCCAAUGUAUGGGAGCGAAGGCCUGUGUGAAAAGGAGAUUGGGAGCGGCCGUCAAAGGGGGAUCUGAGUCCAGAACUGAGGGAAUGGGCUGUGGCAAGUGCUUGGUUUACAUGGUUCCUGGUAAUGGUGGUGCCAGUUGGAGCAGAGGAACCGCUUGCAUCCAUGAGGUACUUAAAAGGCUUUGGGAGGUGCAGGUUAUGAAAGAAUGUUGUGCAAGGCGUGUCAGUGGAGGAUCAGAGUCUUCUCUGUUCCUGAGAUGA